CAGCAGGACAAACUCCCUCACUGAUGGCAUGGGACAUGCUAUGAAAAUAGGUGGGAAAGCUGACUUUCUUAUAGUGAGAAGACAAUGUGGAUAUACACUAUUGCCCACAACCUACAUCUGGCGGAGAAUAUAGCUUCCAUUACUAACAAUAUCAAGAAGUGGGAACUGCCAUCUUUUGUUCUGUUUGCAGAUUAAAGGACACUAUUAAAAG